AACAUAUAUAAGACUUAUGUUACGGCCAUAAGAUAGGUAGAAUUACCGUAUGUUU
rnacentral:tRNA from 1 species